GCUUUCGUGUGCUGGGGCUGAUCGGCUCCAGACUGGAAUGAGGGGUGCUUUUGGAAAGCCCCAAGGAACCUGUGCUCGUGUUGCUAUCGGGCAGGUCUUGCUUUCUGUCCGUUGCAAGGACAGUAACAGCCACCAUGCUCAGGAGGCCCUUCGCCGUGCUAAGUUCAAGUUUCCUGGUCGUCAAAAGAUUAUUGUCAGCAGGAAAUGGUAUGCGUUUUUAUCCAUGACUGCAUUCAUGUUAAAGUUAACUCGUAUUUGCUUGUAUUAUAUGGAUUGGCGUGUCACAAGAUUAGCAGAUCACAUGGAUUAAGUUGCCUGGUGCUGGUGUCUCUAGUAGUGAGUUUAAAAAAUCUACCCUUAUUUAAAUUUUUUUCUUUUUUCUUUUUUAAAGAAAAAACACAAUCAAUUAGAUGCCUGUUGCUGGUAGUCUCUAGGUUUGGGUUUAAAAAAUUAACUUCAGGUAGUGUAAUGGAGCUUUAGGGACAUAUGAGUGUUAGAUUGAAUUUCUAUUUGUUUAUUCUAGGCUGAUCGUGCUUUUUUUUUUUAAAAUACCCAUAUCUAUAUGAAUGCUCUCUUAAGAUCUUGUUUGGGUUUACUUUCUCACUAUUGCAUAAUUAUGCUUGUUUUUAGGGGAUUUACCAAGUUCAGCCGUGCUGAUUAUCUGAGGUGGAAGUCGGAGAACAGGAUUGUCCCAGAUGGUGUGAAUGCCAAGGUAACAUCAAACUUUAUUGGAGUUAAAACAUUAUUGCAUUGCAAUUUUGCUUUACUUGAGUUCUUUAUAAAAUAGUGUUGUCAAUCUCUAUAUUGUGUGUCGAAGCAAUCUGCUUUUGCCUCAGUCGAUGCAUUAUUGUUCUGUUCUACUUCUGGAAUUUGUUCUCUUCAAUUUAGCCUCUCGUGUCCUUUCUUGAUUUAGUGUUUAUGACUGAUGGUAUUUGCUUGGCUGAGAGAUAAUUCUAGUUUCUGAUAACUUAAUGAUAGAUUGGGGUUGCAUUGCAAUCAAUGGAUCUAGCCUGUUGCUUAUAAGUUUUGUUUUGUUUUUGUUUAGCUUCUCGGAUGUCAUGGUCCUUUGGCUCAACGCCAACCUGGAAGAGCUUUCCUGGAAGCAACAACCUAAGAUAUUUACUGUCUCAAAAUAGCAGAGCUGUGACUACUGUCUAGUUUAUUAUUUUCCAUUUCGUACCUUUUCUCAGUUGAACUGGAUUUCUCAAGUUGAAGUGACAUGUUUAUUUGG
rnacentral:lncRNA from 1 species